rnacentral:rRNA from 1 species
CAGCCGUAAACUAUGCGCGUUAGGUGUAUCGGUGACCACGAGUUACCGAGGUGCCGAAGGGAAACCGUGAAACGUGCCGCCUGGGAAGUACGGUCGCAAGGCUGAAACUUAAAGGAAUUGGCGGGGAGCACCACAACGGGUGGAGCCUGCGGUUUAAUUUGGACUCAACGCCGGAAAUCUCACCGGAUAGGACAGACAUAUGAUAGUCGGGCUGAAGACUCUACUUGAUGAUCUGAGAGGAGGUGCAUGGCGUCAGUGACU